AGUAUGUUGCGAUGCUGCAUUGCUUCACAAUGCAGAUUCUGAAAUUAAUAGUAAGUUAAAUGGCUUGCUAAAUUAGGGUUGCCAUUUUUCAAACCACGAAAAUCCAGACAGGAAAGCUGUUGAGCUUUUUUUGGGUGUGGGCAUGGCGAAAGGCGCAUUUUACCAAUUUCUGCACAGACACUGCUACCGUGAAAUGCCAGUUGUAUGGGAACCCUAAUGUGUUCCAUUAGGGGAGAUUGGUUUGCACAAAUGUGUAUAUUAGGCAGAACUGCAUACAGGAAACGACCAAUCAACAUGCGACCAUGCAGAACCCAGAAGUGACUUUUAAAACAGCCCUAAAAGAGCCCAGCAAGAGCAAAACCAGCACGAAAACAGCACCUAGCAAUCCCAUGAGCCUUUGCAAAUGCAAUCCCAGGAGCCCUUGCAGCGACCAUUGAGGCCUGUGGAGAGUUGAAUUUGAGCAGGGAGUUUUGGAGGGAGUGGUUAUGGCGGAGUUUGGUGAUUGCAACAAAACACAGGCAGAAGGUGGAAGGGAAAGCAAUAAUACAUGCCUUCGUUGUAGCAUAGAUUACAUGUUCUUUGUUCCUGCCUUUGACCUUCUCCACUUCUCCAAAUGUAUCUCCAGAGCAAGAGGUACAAAAAUACCCAGGACAGAAAUAGGUACAGAACGAUGAGAGAAGAGUGGAUGAGAGGAAGGACCCAUAACUAUCCUGUAUACAUUCCAUCACUCUCUUCUCACUGAUGUGGAUACCAUGCAGCAGUAUAGUGAGGAAUAUCUAGGCCUGGCGUGGGGCAGAAUGUAUGGAAGCUAAUGUAUCAACCAUGCUCAAGGAAUUAUUGGAUCCAAAUGACCUUUUUGUGAUGUAAAGCUCCAGUCUGGAAGCUCAUGUGGUCAAAUGGUUAUAAUACAAUAUUUUAUAUGUUAUGCUCCCAUCACAGGAGCCAACUUCUAGGGGCCGAGGUACCUUCAGCCCCCCCCCUAAAAUAUUGGUGUGUGUUUUCCCCCCAAAACAACAUGCAAUUGCAGCACUGGUCUCCCAAGGUUGUACUAACAGUGCACUGUUGAAGACUUUCAGGGCUCCUAUGCCUUUAAUAAAACAUCUCCUGUUUGCA